GCAUCACAUCCAUCACCACGGAUCGUCGGGCACGUACCUGCCCGUGAAGGAGAACACCG
rfam:Clavibacter michiganensis subsp. sepedonicus complete genome